rnacentral:rRNA from 1 species
GGUUGACCUCGGAUCAGGUAGGGAUACCCGCUGAACUUAAGCAUAUCAAUAAGCGGAGGAAAAGAAACCAACCGGGAUUGCCUCAGUAACGGCGAGUGAAGCGGCAACAGCUCAAAUUUGAAAUCUGGCCCUCACGGGGUCCGAGUUGUAAUUUGUAGAGGGUGUUUCGGGUGCGGUGCCGGUCUAAGUUCCUUGGAACAGGACGUCAUAGAGGGUGAGAAUCCCGUCUGCGAGUCGGCCACCAACCCCGGGUGAAACCCCUUCGACGAGUCGAGUUGUUUGGGAAUGCAGCUCAAAAUGGGUGGUAAAUUUCAUCUAAAGCUAAAUACCGGCCAGAGACCGAUAGCGCACAAGUAGAGUGAUCGAAAGAUGAAAAGCACUUUGGAAAGAGAGUUAAAAAGUACGUGAAAUUGUUGAAAGGGAAGCGCUUGCGACCAGACCUGCCCCCGGGCGAUCAUCCGCCAUUCGUGGCGGUGCACUCGCCCGGAUGCAGGCCAGCAUCGGUUCGGGCGGCGGGACAAAGGACUCGGGAACGUAGCUCUCUCCGGGGAGCCUUAUAGCCCGGGUCGUCAUGCCGCCCGCCUGGACCGAGGACCGCGCUUCGGCUAGGAUGCUGGCGUAAUGGUCGUAAGCGACCCGUCUUGAAACACGGACCAAGGAGUCUACCAUUCAUGCGAGUGUUUGGGUGUCAAACCCAGGCGCGGAAUGAAAGUGAACGGAGGUGAGACCCCGCAAGGGCGCAUCAUCGACCGAUCCAGAUGUCUUCGGAUGGAUUUGAGUACGAGCAUGGCUGGUGGGACCCGAAAGAUGAUGAACUAUGCCUGAAUAGGGUGAAGCCAGAGGAAACUCUGGUGGAGGCUCGCAGCGGUUCUGACGUGCAAAUCGAUCGUCGAAUUUGGGUAUAGGGGCGAAAGACCAAUCGAAUCAUCUAGUAGCUGGUUUACGUC